GGAGGAUCCAAGCGUUAUCCGGAAUCAUUGGGUUUAAAGGGUCCGUAGGCGGCCUUGUAAGUCAGUGGUGAAAUCUCCCGCUCAACGGGGAAACUGCCAUUGAUACUGCAGGGCUUGAAUUAUUGGGAAGUAACUAGAAUAUGUAGUGUAGCGGUGAAAUGCUUAGAGGUUACAUGGAAUACCAAUUGCGAAGGCAGGUUACUACCAAUGGAUUGACGCUGAUGGACGAAAGCGUGGGUAGCGAACAGGAUUAGAUACCCUGGUAGUCCACGCCGUAAACGAUGGAUACUAGCUGUUCGGUAGCAAUACUGAGUGGUUAAGCGAAAGUGAUAAGUAUCCCACCUGGGGAGUACGUUCGCAAGAAUG
rnacentral:rRNA from 1 species